rnacentral:lncRNA from 1 species
AUGUAAGCCAAGACUGCUGCGCAAAUGCGACGUGCUCGGGAAGCAUGGUGUUUUCGAGGUUCAUCCACAUUGUGGUAUGUAUCAGUGCUUCGUACCUUUUUACGGCCCCCCGGUACAUAGUUGUAUAUUCUUCGUUGUGAGUCCUUCUAGUUGUGGCAUGUGGGACGCCGCCUCAGCGUGGUUUGAUGAGCAGUGCCAUGUCCGCGCCCAGGAUUCGAACCAACGAAACACUGGGCCGCCUGCAGCGGAGCGCGCGAACUCAACCACUCGGCCACGGGGCCAGCCCCUUACUUUCGCAUCUUUAACAUAAAAGAAAAUAUCAGCCAACCUUUAUGUUGAAUUUGUCAAUUGCAGCCAUAGGUUAGCUAGGAUAUAAGAGUUUGGCAAAAACCAACAGAAGCAUUCUGUGAGAAUCAAUUGGCUCUAUGGAAUUUACAAUAAAGAUUAAUGCAUAUUUUAUUAUUUUUAAAUUGUAAAUUACUCAUCCUUUAUAUCAGUA